rnacentral:lncRNA from 1 species
AUGGGUCCCUAUGGGUCCCUAUGGGUCCCUAUGGGUCCCUAUGGGUCUCUAUGGGUCCCUAUGGGUCUCCCUGCCCCACACUUUAGGCUGGAGCCCGGCUCAGGCCCAGAUGUUGGGGACACAGUUUUGGGGUCAGCGCCCCCCAGAGCAGGAACCGGGACCUAAAAUCAGGUUCACAGCGGAGCUGGCUCGUGCCUACCUGGCUGUGAGGCUCAGGAGGGACCACGCGGCUGUGGGGCGGGCACUGCAAGAGGGCGGCCCACGAGUUAUGGGGCGGCAGCGUGCGGCACUACGUGUGUGUGGGGCCAUCCAGGGCCAUGAGGGACAUGGGGGAGAGACUGAGACACGGUGAGGGGGU